AUUUUUAACGGUUUUGCACCCACAUUUUCAGUCUCCUCCACAGUACACGACGUUUUCGACAGUUCUUUAUAUUUGCUUUUCAUUGUCGGAGUUUCACGAAGUCUCUUCCACAGUACACGACGUUUUCGACAGUUCUUUAUAUUUGCUUUUCAUUGUCGGAGUUUCACGAAGAUCAUGGACCAUCGCCCUUUGUUCCGUGUGCAGCCUUCGUCCACUGAGCUCACUCUCAGGCCCUCACCAGAAGCACUGACGGUGGCCCAGGCCUAUCAUGGGUCUGAGGCAUGGAAGGUGAAGGUGCCUCAGAAGGUGAAGGAGGAGGCGAAAGCUCGCAUUCUGCAAGGAGGAGGAGAUCCCCACUGCUCCCAGCUGCUUCUCAGCCAAUAUGAGAUCCAGUUUGGGCAGUACCGGGGACAGACCUUCAAGUGGCUCCUGAGUCACGACGUGGGCUACGCUGUGGCCCUGCUGGCCUCACACCAGAAGGAGCGGGAGAGUGGUGACACAUCCAGCUCACCACUUAUGGCCAACAAGGUGCUGUGGAGUACAACACAGAAAUAUCUCACUCAUCCUAGUACAGUAAAAGUAGAGCCAUCAUUAGAACUAUUAUACGGAUCCCAACUCACACAGCUCAAUCAGAGCAAUCAUCAAGAAAUUCCUAUUUCUGUCAUAAUACACAUAUUCUGUUCUCCCGCUACACAGGAUGCCCUCACCUCCUACAGCAAGCUGUUCCCAGAGGUGAUGUCAGCCGUGGAGGGACGCCGUGCCACGGAGGGUUCCAAGUCUGUCCGGAGCCAAGACAAGAAGUUGGUGGAGUUCGGCCCCCACGGAGCCAUGACCUACGCCUCCAUGUACGAGGCCACGGGGAAAGAGGUUGAGACCUACGUGCAGUGGCUGAGGAAGAAGAAGUGCAUCCCAGGCAGCUCUCUGCAUGCUUUAAAGACCUACAUACUGGGCCGGGACCAGGAGAAGAACCAGCAUCCCUCCCAGCAGCCCCAGUGCCCACCAUCUGACGGUGUUGUGCUCCCAGUUGCUGUUCCUGCUGCCUCCACGCGUGUCUCUGAAAAGCUGAUUUCUUUGUCUUCUCUGUGUGAAACAGCUGCUAACGAGCCCUCAGACGAGAUGCUCCUGGCUGCUGCCUUAGAGGUGGAGAGUCAGCAGGUCCCAUCUUCAGCCUCCACUCCUGUGCCCGUUGAUGACCUGGACCUGUCUUCCAGUGGUGACAGCAGCGUCGCCGUGCGGCCCAGGACCAGAGCUGCAGCCGCAGCUGAGGGCUGUCCUAAACCCUCGCGGCCAAUUAGUGGCUCAGAGGUGAGACACCCCCCUCCCUCCCUCUGCAGGGCAGCUCCCCCACUGUGCUUCAAAUUGUUUGGCUUGUGCUCACCUUUUGUCUGUUUCUGUGGUGAAGUUGCUGCCUGCAUCCCCCACUGUGCUUCACAUUGUUUGGCUUGUGCUGACCUUUUGUCUGUUUCUGUGUUGAAGCUGCUGCCUCACAGCUGGAGGCAGACUCUGCCGGAGGAGCAGCAGGACUGGGUGGGCCGGGCUCUGUUCACCAGGAACGCCAGGGGCCAGCGUGUCCUCACCACCGACCUUCGCCUCUGGUGGUACCCUCCCGGAGCCCGGCCCCUCUACACCCAGACCCCUGCAUCGUCCCACGCCUUCUUCCAGAGGCCGUUCUUCCUGUGGCUGCCCUACAAGAUGUGGGCGUGCAGGCUUGUGUGCCCCAGCUGUGACACGAAGCUGACCGGCGCAGGACUGCACAAGACGGUGCGCAGGGUUCUGGACAGGGACGGCUGGUACUUUAUGGGCACAGAGUGCCUGGAAUGUCGUUCCUGUGGGAAGAAGAUGGCCGCCUGGGUCCCGGACAUCAUCAAUCAGUUGGACCCGGGUCACCGGAAUCAAUUCCCGGCUGUACUCACCUACAAGUAA
ensembl:lncRNA